rnacentral:tRNA from 1 species
AAGGCUUUAACUUAAUUAAAGUAUCUGCUUUGCAUGCAGGAGAUGUAGGUUAAAGGCCUGCAAGUCUUA